UACGUAGGGGGCAAGCGUUGUCCGGAAUCAUUGGGCGUAAAGCGCGUGUAGGCGGCCCGGUAAGUCCGCUCUGAAAGUCCAGGGCUCAACCCUGGAAAGCGGGUGGAUACUGCCGGGCUAGAAUCCGGAAGAGGCGAGUGGAAUUCCUGGUGUAGCGGUGGAAUGCGCAGAUAUCAGGAGGAACACCAAUUGCGAAGGCAGCUCGCUGGGACGUUACUGACGCUGAGACGCGAAAGCGUGGGGAGCAAACAGG
rnacentral:rRNA from 1 species